rnacentral:rRNA from 1 species
GCACAAGCGGUGGAUGAUGUGGAUUAAUUCGAUGCAACGCGAAAACCUUACCUACCCUUGACAUGUCUGGAACCUUGGUGAGAGCCGAGGGUGCCUUCGGGAGCCAGAACACAGGUGCUGCAUGGCUGUCGUCAGCUCGUGUCGUGAGAUGUUGGGUUAAGUCCCGCAACGAGCGCAACCCUUGCCAUUAGUUGCUACGAAAGGGCACUCUAAUGGGACUGCCGGUGACAAACCGGAGGAAGGUGGGGAUGACGUCAAGUCCUCAUGGCCCUUAUAGGUGGGGCUACACACGUCAUACAAUGGCCGGUACAGAGGGUAGCCAACCCGCGAGGGGGAGCCAAUCCCACAAAGCCGGUCGUAGUCCGGAUCGCAGUCUGCAACUCGACUGCGUGAAGUCGGAAUCGCUAGUAAUCGCGGAUCAGCAUGUCGCGGUGAAUACGUUCCCGGGUCUU